CUGCGGAAGGAUCAUUACCUAGAGUUUGUAGACUUCGGUCUGCUACCUCUUACCCAUGUCUUUUGAGUACCUUCGUUUCCUCGGCGGGUCCGCCCGCCGAUUGGACAACAUUCAAACCCUUUGCAGUUGCAAUCAGCGUCUGAAAAAACUUAAUAGUUACAACUUUCAACAACGGAUCUCUUGGUUCUGGCAUCGAUGAAGAACGCAGCGAAAUGCGAUAAGUAGUGUGAAUUGCAGAAUUCAGUGAAUCAUCGAAUCUUUGAACGCACAUUGCGCCCCUUGGUAUUCCAUGGGGCAUGCCUGUUCGAGCGUCAUUUGUACCUUCAAGCUCUGCUUGGUGUUGGGUGUCUUGUCUCGCCUCUGCGUGUAGACUCGCCUUAAAACAAUUGGCAGCCGGCGUAUUGAUUUCGGAGCGCAGUACAUCUCGCGCUUUGCACUCAUAACGACGACGUCCAAAAGUACAUUUUUACACUCUUGACCUCGGAUCAGGUAGGGAUACCCGCUGAACUUAAGCAUAUCAAUAAGCGGAGGA
rnacentral:rRNA from 1 species